UAAACUAAGUGGCCAAGUUUAUAUUUUAAGGUAGUAAUGUAUUAAGGCGUAAUUUAUUAAUAAAAAUUAAUUUAAUAUUUAUAGGUGAAAUUUAUAUAUGUUAGGUAAUUUUAAUUUUUUAUUUAUUUGCUUAAUUACGAAGGUUUAAAUAGAAACUAGGAUUAGAUACCCUAUUAUUUUUACUUGUAAAUUUUAAUUUACCAGGGUAGUAUUAGUUAUUAAACUUGAAACUUAAAAGACUUGGCGGUGUUUAAGAAAAUUUAGGGGAGCUUGUUUCUUAAUCGAUAAUCCACGUUAAACCUAACUUUUCUAAUUAGUUUGUAUAUCGUCGUCUUUAGUUGACUUUUAAAGAARUAAUUAGUUAGCUUAAKAGUUUUUAGCUAAAAUGUCAGAUCAAGGUGCAGCUUAUGGAGAAGGGAAAAUGAGCUACGAUUAUAAUAUUUAUUUCUAAUAAUUUUUUAAAUAGUAUUAAUUUAAAGUUGGACUUAAAAGUAAUGGUAUUAAUUAUUUAUAUAAAUGCUUUGAAUUUUAUUCUUAAAUGCGU
rnacentral:rRNA from 1 species